UGAGGAAUAUUGGUCAAUGGGCGUAAGCCUGAACCAGCCAAGUAGCGUGAGGGAAGACUGCCCUAUGGGUUGUAAACCUCUUUUGUGCGGGGAUAAAGUGAGGGACGUGUCCCUUAUUGCAGGUACCGCACGAAUAAGGACCGGCUAAUUCCGUGCCAGCAGCCGCGGUAAUACGGAAGGUCCGGGCGUUAUCCGGAUUUAUUGGGUUUAAAGGGAGCGCAGGCCGUCCUUUAAGCGUGCUGUGAAAUGCCGCGGCUCAACCGUGGCACUGCAGCGCGAACUGGAGGACUUGAGUACGCACGAGGUAGGCGGAAUUCGUGGUGUAGCGGUGAAAUGCUUAGAUAUCACGAAGAACUCCGAUUGCGAAGGCAGCUUACCGGAGCGCAACUGACGCUGAGGCUCGAAAGCGCGGGUAUCGAACAGGAUUAGAUACCCUGGUAGUCCGCGCGGUAAACGAUGGAUGCCCGCCGUUGGGAUUUGGAUUUCAGCGGCCAAGCGAAAGCGUUAAGCAUCCCACCUGGGGAGUACGCCGGCAACGGUGAAGCUCAAAGGAAUUGACGGGGGCCCGCACAAGCGGAGGAACAUGUGGUUUAAUUCGAUGAUACGCGAGGAACCUUACCCGGGCUUGAAUUGCAGGAGAACGAUCCAGAGAUGGUGAGGCCCUUCGGGGCUCCUGUGAAGGUGCUGCAUGGUUGUCGUCAGCUCGUGCCGUGAGGUGUCGGCUCAAGUGCCAUAACGAGCGCAACCCCUGUCCAUAGUUGCCAUCAGGUCGUGCUGGGCACUCUGUGGAGACUGCCGCCGUAAGGUGUGAGGAAGGUGGGGAUGACGUCAAAUCAGCACGGCCCUUACGUCCGGGGCUACACACGUGUUACAAUGGGGCAUACAGCGAGUUGGAUGUGCGCAAGUACGUCCGGAUCAAUAAAGUGCCUCUCAGUUCGGACUGGGGUCUGCAACCCGACCCCACGAAGCUGGAUUCGCUAGUAAUCGCGCAUCAGCCAUGGCGCGGUGAAUACGUUCCC
rnacentral:rRNA from 1 species